rnacentral:lncRNA from 1 species
CCCAAUUAGAUAAAAACUUGCAAGAGGGGUGCACAAAUAAUAAAAAAAGGUGCAGAAAGAAGGCCCAAGAGUAAAGGGAAAGCCCAUUAAAGAAACUCUAUAAAUAGGAGUUCAGAGAUAGAAAGAGGUAAGAGUGAUUUUAUCUGAUGAAUAUUAAACCUUUUCUGACUUUGGCAUCGGAGCGACUUGCAGGUACCCCCCACCUGUCGUGAGGAGAAGCCGAGAGCACCAGCCUAGAAGAGUAGCCGAGAGCACCAGCCUAGAAGAGAAGCCGAGAGCACCUGCCUAGAAGAGAAGCCGAUAACACCAGCCUAGAGGAGAAGCCGAGAGUGUCAGCCGAGAGCAUUAACCGAGAGUACCAGCCAAGAGAAGAAGUCAGGAGUUCCCACCAAGGAAAGAAAUUAAGUCUUGUUAACCUUUUUCGAGUAUUCUUGGUCCUUGUUGUAAGAACA